rnacentral:tRNA from 1 species
UCCUCGAUAGCUCAAUGGUAGAGCAUCCGGCUGUUAACCGGAGGGUUGCAGGUUCGAGCCCUGCUCGGGGAGCCA